UCAUUAUUAGUAUGUACAAGUUAGUUAGAGUAACUGAUCUGAGUUAGCAUUACUCUCAUAUAAAUAGAUUCCGUUUAGUGUAAUAACUUGGGAUGAAUUCAUUAUAGCCAUAACACUCUCUUUUCUCAUGUACUCACUUUCUCUAGUCUACUCUCCUCCUUCAAGCUCAGGCCUGAUACCUUACAUGGUAUUAGAUCUUCAAACUCUGGCUACUGAAACAAAGCUAACUAUUCAAAUUUUUUCAGUUCCAGUGGUGCUGAAACUAGAUCCAUUUAAUUUUUUGUCGUGGAAAGAUCAUAUCAAGGCAAUAGUUGAGGGCUAUGAACUCUUGCAUCGUCUCACAGGGAAGGAUACUCCAAAAAAGUUCACAUCCGAGGCAAAUCGAAGCUCCGAAAUCAUCUCAUCAGAAUACAAGAAAUGAAAGAAACAAGAUGCACAUAUCAAAGCCUGGCUUCUUGCGCCUAUGACUAAUAUUGUGCAGUAUGAGAAUCAAUCUCAAAGACAGUAUCAGGCAAAAUCCUCACUCAGAUUUUAAAGAGGUGGCUGAUUUGGCAAUUUUAGAGGAGGCAGAGGUGAUAGAUUUGGAAACUUCAGAGGAGGAAGCUGAUUUUCAACCCCAAGAAUCUCGUGUCAGCUAUGUAAUAAAUAUGGACAUCUAGCAGCUCAGUGUUGGCAUCGGUUUGAUGAGGCAUUUGAGACUAGGAAUCAUGAACAACGAAGUUUUGAACCAAGAAACUAUGCUGGAUCAAGUUCACAGGGUCAGAGAAGAGGACUUAGGGCAAAUCUUGCCAUGAGCAAUACACUUGCUACUCUUGCCAUGAUUAGUGAUCUGAAUUGGUAUCUGGACUCUGAAGCAACACAUCAUAUGACUCCCGAUCCAUAUAACUUGAUGCAAAAAUUAGUUUAUGAUGGUUCAAAACAAGUCAUGAUUGGAGACGGUUUAGGUUUGCAUAUUAUUCAUGUUGGAAACACAUUAUUUAAACCUAAUUUGAGCACAAAAUUGUUUAAGCUAGCCAAUUUAUUACAUGUUUCUAAUAUAACAAAGAAUCUUAUUAGUGUAAAUAAGCUUGCCAAAGACAAUAAUAUUUUCUUUGAGCUC